rfam:Hordeum vulgare subsp. vulgare, WGS project CAJW01000000 data, contig: morex_contig_138649
UAACUACUCCCUGCGUCCCAAAAUUCUUAUUUGUUUAGAUAUGAAUGUAUCUAGUCAAGUUUUAGUAUUUAGAUACAUUCAUUUUUAGACAAAGUUAAGACAAGAAUUUUGGGACGGAGGGAGUACAUA